rnacentral:rRNA from 1 species
UACGAAGGGGGCUAGCGUUGUUCGGAUUUACUGGGCGUAAAGCGCACGUAGGCGGAUCGUUAAGUCGGGGGUGAAAUCCUGGAGCUCAACUCCAGAACUGCCUUCGAUACUGGCGAUCUUGAGUCCGGAAGAGGUGAGUGGAACUCCUAGUGUAGAGGUGGAAUUCGUAGAUAUUAGGAAGAACACCAGUGGCGAAGGCGGCUCACUGGGCCGGUACUGACGCUGAGGUGCGAAAGCGUGGGGAGCAAACAGG